rnacentral:tRNA from 1 species
GGGGUUGUGGCUUAGUGGCAGAGCACUUACCUAACAUGCAUGAUGCCUUGAGUUCAAUUUCCAUCACCACCCCA